GUGGGGAAUCUUGCGCAAUGGGCGAAAGCCUGACGCAGCCAUGCCGCGUGAAUGAUGAAGGUCUUAGGAUUGUAAAAUUCUUUCACCGGGGACGAUAAUGACGGUACCCGGAGAAGAAGCUCCGGCUAACUUCGUGCCAGCAGCCGCGGUAAUACGAAGGGGGCUAGCGUUGCUCGGAAUUACUGGGCGUAAAGGGCGCGUAGGCGGACAGCUUAGUCAGAGGUGAAAGCCCAGGGCUCAACCUUGGAAUUGCCUUUGAUACUGGCUGUCUUGAGUUUGGGAGAGGUGAGUGGAACUCCGAGUGUAGAGGUGAAAUUCGUAGAUAUUCGGAAGAACACCAGUGGCGAAGGCGACUCACUGGCUCGAUACUGACGCUGAGGUGCGAAAGCGUGGGGAGCAAACAGGAUUAGAUACCCUAGUAGUCC
rnacentral:rRNA from 1 species